GCGCAAGCGUUAUCCGGAAUUAUUGGGCGUAACGCGCUCGUAGGCGGUUUGUCGCGUCUGCCGUGAAAGUCCGGGGCUCAACUCCGGAUCUGCGGUGGGUACGGGCAGACUAGAGUGAUGUAGGGGAGACUGGAAUUCCUGGUGUAGCGGUGAAAUGCGCAGAUAUCAGGAGGAACACCGAUGGCGAAGGCAGGUCUCUGGGCAUUAACUGACGCUGAGGAGCGAAAGCAUGGGGAGCGAACAGG
rnacentral:rRNA from 1 species